AUCCAUCCAAAGAAGCUUGCUCAGCUGGCCAAGAAGUGUCAGCGGAUGCUUGUGGCCGGAGCCGGUGCCGACAUGGCUGACGACGAAUCCUGCAGCACAACGUCAUCUGUGGUUGCCGAUGAGGGCCACUGUGUGAUGUAUGCUGCCGACGGAGCACGGUUCGAGGUCCCUCUGCAGUACCUCGGGACGACGGUCUUCACUGAGCUCCUAAGGAUGUGCGAGGAGGAGUUUGGCUUCUCGAGCGGUGGCCAUGUAGGCAGGAUCAUGCUGCCCUGCGACGCCACGGUCAGGAGAGAGGCCUUUGAGGAGGUCGAGAUGGCGUUCUCGAGCUCCAUUGUUGGGCACCGCCAUAGCUACAAUUCUAGCUGCGUGGCGCCAUCAAUGGGACUCAGCCAUCAAUUUGCUCUUUGUACUUAG
rnacentral:rRNA from 1 species